CGAACGGCAAGUUUGAUAGCAAUAUUGAACCUAGAGUGUCGUAAGGGUGCGUAACACGUAUGCAAUCUACCCGAAACUGGAGCAUAGCUCCCCGAAAGGGGAAUUAACACUCCAUAAGAUCAUAGGAUGGCAUCAUCUAGUGAUUAAAACUGAGGUGGUUUCGGAUGAGCAUGCGUUUGAUUAGUUAGUUGGUGAGGUAACGGCUCACCAAGACGAUGAUCAAUAGGGGAACUGAGAGGUUGAUCCCCCACACUGGCACUGAGAUACGGGCCAGACUCCUACGGGAGGCAGCAGUAGGGAAUAUUGGACAAUGGGUGAGAGCCUGAUCCAGCCAUGCCGCGUGCAGGAAGAAGGCCUUCUGGGUUGUAAACUGCUUUUGCCAGGGGAUAAAAUUUCCAUGCGUGGAGAACUGAAGGUACCUGGUGAAUAAGCCACGGCUAACUACGUGCCAGCAGCCGCAGUAAUACGUAGGUGGCAAGCGUUGUCCGGAUUUAUUGGGUUUAAAGGGUGCGUAGGCGGUUCCAUAAGUCAGUGGUGAAAUACAAUAGCUUAACUAUUGAGGUGCCAUUGAUACUGCGGAACUUGAGUACAGACGAGGUAGGCGGAAUUGACGGUGUAGCGGUGAAAUGCUUAGAUAUCGUCAAGAACACCGAUAGCGAAGGCAGCUUACUAGACUGUAACUGACGCUGAGGCACGAAAGGUGUGGGGAUCAAACAGGAUUAGAUACCCUGGUAGUCCACACUGUAAACGAUGAUUACUCGAUGUUGGCGAUACACAGCCAGCGUCUUAG
rnacentral:rRNA from 1 species